CCUACGGGUGGCAGCAGUGAGGAAUAUUGGUCAAUGGACGAGAGUCUGAACCAGCCAAGUAGCGUGAAGGAUGACUGCCCUAUGGGUUGUAAACUUCUUUUAUAUGGGAAUAAAAUGUUCCACGUGUGGGUUUUUGUAUGUACCAUAUGAAUAAGGAUCGGCUAACUCCGUGCCAGCAGCCGCGGUAAUACGGAGGAUCCGAGCGUUAUCCGGAUUUAUUGGGUUUAAAGGGAGCGUAGGUGGAUUGUUAAGUCAGUUUUGAAAGUUUGCGGAUCAACCGUAAAAUUGCAGUUGAAACUGGCAGUCUUGAGUACAGUAGAGGUGGGCGGAAUUCGUGGUGUAGCGGUGAAAUGCUUAGAUAUCACGAAGAACUCCGAUUGCGAAGGCAGCUCACUGAACUGCAACUGACACUGAGGCUCGAAAGUGUGGGUAUCAAACAGGAUUAGAUACCCCUGUAGUC
rnacentral:rRNA from 1 species